UGGGGGAUAUUGCGCAAUGGGGGGAAACCCUGACGCAGCAACGCCGCGUGAAGGAAGAAGGUUUUCGGAUUGUAAACUUCUUUUAUUAAGGACGAAAAAUGACGGUACUUAAUGAAUAAGCUCCGGCUAACUACGUGCCAGCAGCCGCGGUAAUACGUAGGGAGCAAGCGUUGUCCGGAUUUACUGGGUGUAAAGGGUGCGUAGGCGGCUUUGCAAGUCAGAUGUGAAAUGUACGGGCUUAACCCGUAAGCUGCAUUUGAAACUGCAGAGCUUGAGUGAAGUAGAGGCAGGCGGAAUUCCCUGUGUAGCGGUGAAAUGCGUAGAGAUAGGGAGGAACACCAGUGGCGAAGGCGGCCUGCUGGGGCUUUAACUGACGCUGAGGCACGAAAGCGU
rnacentral:rRNA from 1 species